rnacentral:misc_RNA from 1 species
GAUGAAGAACGCUAGCGAAAUGCGAUAAGUAAUGUGAAUUGCAGAAUUCAGUGAAUCAUCGAAUCUUUGAACGCACAUUGCGCCCCUUGGUAUUCCGGGGGGCAUGCCUCUUCCAGCGUCAUUUCACCCCUCAAGCUCUGCUUGGUUUUGGGCCGCGCCGGCAACGGCGGGCCUCGAAAAUAGUGGCGACGCCAUCGUGCUCUCAGCGUAGUAAUUCUUCUCGCUGUUGGGUCCCGGUGGUCGUCCGCCAGCAACCCCCAACUUUCUUAAGUUUGACCUGGGAUGAGGUAGGGAUACCCGCUGAACUUAAGCAUAUCAAUAAGCGGAGGA